UACGUAGGGACCAAGCGUUGUCCGGAAUCAUUGGGCGUAAAGAGCGUGUAGGCGGCCUGUUAAGUCUUGCGUGAAAUCUCGGGGCUCAACCCCGAGCGGUCGUGAGAAACUGGCAGGCUAGAGUGCGGGAGAGGAGAGUGGGAUUCCUGGUGUAGCGGUGAAAUGCGCAGAUAUCAGGAAGAACACCCGUGGCGAAGGCGGCUCUCUGGAACGCAACUGACGCUGAGACGCGAAAGCGUGGGGAGCAAACAGG
rnacentral:rRNA from 1 species